UACGUAGGGGGCAAGCGUUGUCCGGAAUCAUUGGGCGUAAAGAGCGUGUAGGCGGCCAGAAAAGUCCGCUGUGAAAACUCGAGGCUCAACCUCGAGAUGUCGGCGGAAACCACUUGGCUAGAGUCCGGAAGAGGAGAGUGGAAUUCCUGGUGUAGCGGUGAAAUGCGCAGAUAUCAGGAAGAACACCUAUGGCGAAGGCAGCUCUCUGGGACGGUACUGACGCUGAGACGCGAAAGCGUGGGGAGCGAACAGG
rnacentral:rRNA from 1 species